rnacentral:rRNA from 1 species
UACGUAGGGACCGAGCGUUGUCCGGAAUCAUUGGGCGUAAAGAGCGUGUAGGCGGCCCCUUAAGUCCUGCGUGAAAUCCUGCGGCUCAACCGCAGACGGUCGUGGGAAACUGGAGGGCUAGAGUGCGGGAGAGGAGAGUGGAAUUCCCGGUGUAGCGGCGAAAUGCGCAGAUAUCGGGAAGAACACCCGUGGCGAAGGCGGCUCUCUGGAACGCAACUGACGCUGAGACGCGAAAGCGUGGGGAGCAAACAGG